GUGAGAGAAACAACAAAUAUCAUGUAGUGUGUCGCGAGAUACGUUGUGGAAGAGUGUCGUAGCUAAAUAUCCUUCUUCCUCGCGCUACAAUUUUUUUUUUGGCACCAACGGUACAAUAUUAAAUAUCUUCUGGUGAUUCGCAAGGAGCACCUCUACGAUGAAAUCAGCUCACUACAUCAAGCUAUAGCAAAUUAACAGCGUUCGCUGCUAUUAGACGUUUGUCGCCGUUGGAGAAACGCACCAAAACUUUUGCAGGUCCAUACGAGAACUGGAACUCGUGAUGAACCACUCCAUAUUCCUUCUCCUGUUUCUCAACAUGCU